rnacentral:rRNA from 1 species
AUUGAACGCUGGCGGCAUGCCUUACACAUGCAAGUCGAACGGUAACAGGUCUUCGGAUGCUGACGAGUGGCGAACGGGUGAGUAAUACAUCGGAACGUGCCUAGUAGUGGGGGAUAACUACUCGAAAGAGUGGCUAAUACCGCAUGAGAUCUACGGAUGAAAGCAGGGGAUCGCAAGACCUUGUGCUACUAGAGCGGCCGAUGGCAGAUUAGGUAGUUGGUGGGAUAAAAGCUUACCAAGCCGACGAUCUGUAGCUGGUCUGAGAGGACGAUCAGCAACACUGGGACUGAGACACGGCCCAGACUCCUACGGGAGGCAGCAGUGGGGAAUUUUGGACAAUGGGCGCAAGCCUGAUCCAGCAAUGCCGCGUGCAGGAUGAAGGCCUUCGGGUUGUAAACUGCUUUUGUACGGAACGAAAAGCCCUGGGUUAAUACCCUGGGGUCAUGACGGUACCGUAAGAAUAAGCACCGGCUAACUACGUGCCAGCAGCCGCCGUAAUAC